GUGACAUGGUCACGCACGAGAUCGCGCAGCGCGCGACACACGCGCGGCAGGACGUGGAGCACCAGGCGCGCAUCCAGUGUCGCCGGUGGCGCUGACUCAGAAGGUCAGCCGACUUUUUAAAAAUGCCGCUCUGAGGGAGGAAUUAAGACGUUCCCAGGGAAAAGCCACCACUAGACCUGAGCCCCAAGAGAUGCCCAGGGGAGUUGUGCACGUUGAAAGGCCUCUGGAUACUUGACUGAAGCCACGUGAAGAAACAGUGGCCUCGGGUUAACGUGACAUGGGCGCCCCCUCUGCAUGUCUUCUCCACUGCCAAAGCCAAGGACACAGGAGGCCGGAUGGACACCAAGGGUUUCACAAGAAACUGAUCUUUACUCAACAAAGUUCUACACAAGUGGAAUCUCACGCCACCUCGGCACCAACCCCCAGCACAGCACGGGAACGAAUGGACAGACCCGGGAGCCCGCGGGGGGAGAAGGGGAGGGGAGAAGGAGGGACACAGAAAACGGGGGAUGCAGAGGGACUGCGGAUCAAGGCCAGGCUGGGUAAGCAGCCCUGGGCAAGGGAGAAGGUUGAGAAGCUGAAAC